GGAUUAGAUACCCUGGUAGUCCAUGCCGUAAACGGUGGGCGCUAGGUGUGGGUUUCCUUCCACGGGAUCCGUGCCGUAGCUAACGCAUUAAGCGCCCCGCCUGGGGAGUACGGCCGCAAGGCUAAAACUCAAAGGAAUUGACGGGGGCCCGCACAAGCGGCGGAGCAUGUGGAUUAAUUCGAUGCAACGCGAAGAACCUUACCUGGGCUUGACAUGCACUGGAUGCGGCCAGAGAUGGUUGUUCCCUUUGUGGCUGGUGUGCAGGUGGUGCAUGGUUGUCGUCAGCUCGUGCCG
rnacentral:rRNA from 1 species